rnacentral:rRNA from 1 species
UACGUAGGGUGCGAGCGUUGUCCGGAAUUAUUGGGCGUAAAGAGCUCGUAGGCGGUUUGUUGCGUCUAUCGUGAAAACCUGCGGCUUAACUGUGGGCUUGCGGUGGAUACGGGCAGACUUGAGUUCGGUAGGGGAGACUGGAAUUCCUGGUGUAGCGGUGAAAUGCGCAGAUAUCAGGAGGAACACCGGUGGCGAAGGCGGCAUCCUGGACCAACACUGACGCUGAGUGAGCGAAAGCCAGGGGAGCAAACGGG